UUUAGCGUAUUAUCGACACCGGCCCUUUCCGCCGUGUUCGGUAAUAAAAUAACCUGGCUUAUUAGUCCGAAUUCAGACAAAUAUAAACAAAUCCUGCUCAAAAUUAAAAAUUCUAACCGGUAAAAGAUAUUACUUAAACAUGUAAGGUAAUGACUCCAACUUAUUGAUAGUGU
rnacentral:sRNA from 1 species